CAGCAGGGCGCCCGGGCCGAGGCGCUGGCUAUGGCGGCCGGUCGGGCGGUGGGGGAGCGGCGGGCGCCAUUUUGUGUGUGCGGCGGCCGGCUCCCGGGCGCCGCUGUCCGCCGGGGAGGCGGCGGUGAGCGGCCGGGAGCAGCGGGGGCCCCUCCGAGCCGAGCCGGGGAGCGCGCGGCGGCGGCCCAGCCGGGCCUCCCUUCGCCGCGAGCGGAGCGCGGCUCUUGCGGGGCCGCGCUGCCGCCGCUCCCGUGGCGCCGCGUCCCGCAGCGGCCGUUUCCUCCCCCCUCGGGGCUCCCGGGGCGGGGAGGCUGCUCUUGGCCUGUCGGUAGCUCCUCGCCUGCGAGCGAGGGGAGCCCCAGCGGCGGGGCCCGCUUCGCCCCGGCGCCCCUCUUGCCGGGGGGUGCGCGGCCUCCUCCGGGGCUGAGGGGAGCCCCGCUCCGCGCCCCGGCGCCGGCCGAGGGGGGCCGCGGCGGGUGGGGACCCCCGGGGGCCGCUCUGCCUCCCCGGCCCCUUGCGCCGGGUUUAGUCCCUGCUCCCCACAGAGGAGCCCGGGGCGCGUUUUUAACCGGGGGUUCCACCACACGCAGCCCUGCUCAGCCUGAAGGGCCGGCGGUGCCGCUCUGCGACCAUCCCCCGUGCUCCGGCCUGCUGCUCUUAACGCUGUGGGGGGAAUCAGCAAUAAACCUUUUCCUCAGGAAAAAAAAAAGCGAGGUUAAGGCGCGUCUGCUCGCCGUGAUGCGACAGCAGCAGUCUGAGAUCGUUGCGGAGCUGGUUUGUGAUUGACACCCAGUAGGAACAAAGUGGGGAGGAACAGUGUGAUUUUUAUAUUGAAAGUGAAAUUUGGUGUAGAAACAUGUUUCCUGGACGGGUGGAAGCUGCUUGUCGUCUCCCGCACGGUUACACAACACCCUUUUAAUACACCGUCUCUGAAAAAUAAUCCCUCCAAUUUAAUCCUUUGUUUCACACGUUUCGGCCAAACUGCGGCCGGGUUCCCGCGGGGAGUUCUCGCUCGCCGAAUCCAGUGGAUCGCAGUUAAUAUGGCCUCCGCUCUCCUGCUGCUGUGUACCGAGGCAGCAAUUAUCACUGUGUCACUUGUAGAGCCUUAAAAAUAAAAGCGCUUGCCUGUUGCUGGGGCUGAAGGGGGAAACUUUUCAAGCUGAUAAUAAACUGGAGCCAAGCCUGGCUUUGAGUUAUAAAUGUCGUUCCUCCAGCCGUUGGAAACGAGCUGUGGAAAUAAUUGAGUGCUUUUCUUGUGCAAACUCAGAAAAAUGUGCGGUUGCUUGGAUGUAGUGGUAGGCAGUUUUGGAGGUGUCAGGAUCUUCUAAGUUCGGUUUCCUGAUGAACCACGAGGAUUGUGACAGCCUGUCCACGGUUGGGAGCAGGAAGUGAGAGAACGUGAAGGGCCUGAUCCUGAUAGCCAGAGUUCGAUACGUUGCGGAUCGACCAGAAGCUGCCUGCUUUUUUGGGAGGCUGUUAGGUGAUGGCCAUAUUGGUGGGGGCUCUAAAGGACUCUUCCUUAAAUAGGGUUAACUGUGCCAGAGAUUUUCCUCUUUAAAAAAGAAUGCUGCUUGUAUCCAAUAAAAUAUAAUUAUUGGGAUAUCCAGAA